UCAGCUCAGUGGUCGAGCGUUGGCUUUGGAAGCCACAGGGUGGUGGUUCAAAUCCCUCUCAU
rnacentral:tRNA from 1 species